UCUUUCCUACGAAUUGAGAGACCGGCCCUGGCCUGACACGCUGGAGUUGAAAAAGGGGAACAGAAACUGGCCAACCAACACCUUGUGCUAAGGAAAAGCAUUAUAGCUUCAUACAUUAAGUCUGAUCUGUGGUACAAGAGGGAAACUGAGGCAUGCCACUGUUGGGGAAGGCUAGCAACUCUAAGGUAAAUAAAGAAGAAACUAGAAAGAAGCAAGGAGUUCAUCACGUUGAACAGAAAGACUGGGAGUGAGGUACCAGCCCUCUCCCCCACCGUUAUUGGUUUUGCUUUAAUAGCUCUAGAGCACCAGAGAUAAUAAGAAAUCUAUAAGAAACAUGGGCAAGUGGGACAUCAGCAUAUUUAAGUAAAGAUACCCACAAUAAUGAGGAAACUAGUAACCUCACCAUUGCAAUAACAGCUACUUGCUCUGCUACUCACUGGUGCCUGAUGCCUUAAAAGGCCUCAAGAAUUAUGGAAUUGCAUGGGUUAACAAUUAAACAUCUGUGAACCAUGCUUGAUCCUAUAAGAAAAACAGUGACUCUAGUCAACGUAACCUCCUUCAAGUCACAUACAUAGAAAUGAGAAUACACGGCCUUGGGCCGCCCCUCAUUCACACAGAAUCAUUUUGUUUAUUGUAACAACAUGAACACUACAAGGACAAAGAAUACACAGUCCUCUGAGUUAAAGUUUGUAUGGAAUAUUGUGGGAAAGAAGCUAAACACUAACAUCAGGCCACUGAAGUUAGACCUACUGACUCCCACUGGGGCUUACCACUUAAAGCCCAAACAAAGGUAACCCCUGAGGCAUGGCUGUCAUUUGUUAAACAAUGGCCAUUGCUAACUUGCCGUAUUAUUAACCAGGUCCUUGAGGACAAAAUAGAGCCUCCCAAUUGUGCAUCAUGCCCUGAACAGACCCCUGUCCCAGAACCAGGACAAUUGUCACUGGUCCUUACCUUGGUGAUGUUCCACACUGGUAUAGACCAGGUGUGUGCUAGACUGGUUAAUCACAUUAGCAAUUUCCUAAUUGGGCAACGACAGGGCUUAGCAGAUACCAUCACAGAUUGGUUUGAGCCUGGAAACUCUGUCAGCAACACUUAUGUCAUAGCCUAGAAAUUGUAUAGAAUCCAGGCUGGUAGAUGCAGUAAUAUCCAUUGCCUGUAAAGGCCUAGACACCAGCCAAGCUAACCGACUGAUCCUGGAUUGUUUGAAAGAUCUGUCCAGCUCUGUGUCCACUUCACUAGAUCUAACCAGAUAUUUGGACCAGAGACUAAUUAGAUUGUUAAUUAAUAGAACUAAAUUAAAGAAUUAGGAGGCCAGUAUUAAAGCAUAAGAUAGCUUUAACCACCCAGCCUUUAUGGUGGUAAGUCCCCAUCUCCCCCGUGCCUACCCAUGGGAGUGGGGAAGUAAAGAAUCCAUGAGGACCCAAAGGAUCAAGAGAUGGCAAAUAGGAAAACAGAUUAAAUACUGUGGUGCAAAGAUUAAACAAUCGGCAGACUCCUACGGGCAGUCCAAUCAGUAAGAGAUUCCUUCCCUACAGAGAGAACCUUUCCUAGCCCCACUGUACCACUCAAAGAUUUUAAAUAUGCACCUGAAGACACUGUGGUAAUCAAACACCCCAGUUUAGAAUGCAAAUCCACAUACUGAACUCCUACAAGGGAAAAGGAGUCUGGAACAAUGCACACGCUGGGCUAACACCAAUAACCAUUACUGAGGCUUGGAUUGUAUCCAAGACCAGCGAACUUUUUGUUUUAUUACAGGAUACUGAGGCAAUGGCCCUGAACAGUGCUCCAGUGAGAUGUAUCCCUCCCAGCGCUAGUGUAGAUCCAAGAAACCAUGAUGAACUUUUUGUAUAUAUACCACUUGCUGUUGCAGCGCUUGUAAUCGCUGUUGUUAUAGACUGAACUAUAGAAAAGAAAACCUAAGCUGAAGCAAGACAUGGUACUCCAACUCACCAAGGUCUUCUUCCUCAUCCCAACUGCUACUGCUGUACCAGAACACCUUACUUGACUCCUCUACUAGACUGGAAAUCAAGUUUGUCCCUGUAGGGUAAACUGAGGCAGCCCUAAAUGUGCUAGUAGGCCUCUAAACAGCAUAACUCCAUUCUAGGAUUAAGGCCUGGGAACACCACAGUCAGGAUAAGAACUGCAGACAGUAAAAGACC